rnacentral:lncRNA from 1 species
UAUCGAAGCAUAACUCUUCAAACAAACUUCUUUGGUUUCUGUGUACAACUUCAUUUUCUACAGCCUAUUUAAGCAGAAAGGUCAAGCUAGUUUUCCACAUUUUAUAUGUGUGUCAUUCUCAAUAUAGCAACAGAAUCUCUUAUAGAAAACAAUGGAGCCCAGGCGCAGAGCUACUAAUGAGCAUGCUGGAGAGAGUGUCCAGCCCAGCUCCGGCUAGAGACAAUCCACCUGUCUGCUCUCCGAUGCAGGGUAUGGUGCAUGACAGUAAGACACCCCGUUGUAUUUUGUCCUUAAAUAAUUUAGGUAUUUAUUGAUUUUCCUCACAUUUUUGUUUUGGGGCUUUUUGCUAUUGUUUUG